rnacentral:lncRNA from 1 species
CCCAGAAAAUGGACUCUGCGUUGCCAUUAAUGCAGAACGUGAACUGUGUAAUGCUGAGAGGGAAGCCAAUGUUCUGAGCACUGGCUCCAGGGAACACAUUGUCAAACAAAUUCAGAGUGUGAAUGUGCGACCUGUUGGAUGUGAGCGCCUUCUUUUAAAGCAGACUUGCAAUUUCCUAAUCUCUCACUUGCCUGGGAGACCCUUCAGCGUUCCCGUAAGUACGUCUCGUCCUGGGCUUGGAGGACGCCUUCUGAUUUGAGGUGAGAGGGGAAUGAGGUCCCUGUGCUUGGAAAACUGCUCAUUUUAGGAUUUAUGUGGGGAUCU